CUCUGCCGUAAAGCGGCCGCGCUGCCCGGGCGGGCCGGCGACGGAGCGGGCAGAGUGCUGGGAUAGCGCCCUUUGCUUUCCUUUUCUUCCCGCCGCGGGCAUCCCACUCCCUCUGGGGCCUCAGCCUGGUGGUAAUCCGUGUCGUAAACGCACGGCAGCGGAGCGGCACUUAUCUAUCGCUGCCUGCAGCCCGAGCACGCGUGUGAUAGAGAAACAAGCAGCCCCUGUCGCCACGGGUGUUAUCGGCCCCUCUGUGGACCUCGUGCCUAAAGGGGUUUUUUGUGUGUUCUCCUGCUCGCUCCACAGAAGUCUGAAAACAGUGUUUCCGGAUAAGAAACGUAGGCUCUGCUCUGCUGCCUGCUUCUGUACUCCCUGGCAAGCUACUUCUGCAGCUGUAGAUGAAAUAACUGCAAUUGCCAGGAGCAGAAACAAGUCUUCCCUCCCUGAGGGAGACAUUCCAGUCUCAAAAACUGCUUUGAGGGCAGUGACAGAGGUGAGCCGUGCCCUGUAUGCAAAAUUUCAUCUUGCAUAAACUUCGGAGAUAAAGAGGGAGAGAUACACUUCAAAUGGCACAGUUCUGCACAGAAUC